UCAGCAGCUAUUGGCGGAUGGAGCGGAAGGUGCUCCUGCAGCACUGUGGGCUCGUGCUUCAGCGACUAUUGGCUGAAGCGACGCAAGGUACUCCCGCAGCAGACUAUUGCUACUUUACUGAUCUGAGAACAUUGUGACUUGUGGAAUCAAGAUCUUACUGAUCUGGGAGCACUAGAAGCUUAGGGGAUCAUGAACAUUGUCACUUGAAAACCUUAUAGCAUGGAGGGAAUCAUAGCCAUUGCUACCUGAUUUGAAAACAUUGAAACCUAGGAGGAAUUAAGACAAUUGUUACCCUACUGAUCUGAGAACUUUGUAAUCUGGGAAGAGAAUGUUGUACUCCUGGGUGAUCUGAGAACAUCAUAAACUCAGAGGAUCAAGACUUUUGUUACUAUCCUGACCUGAAAACAUUGUAUCCCUGGGGGAUAAAGAGCACUGUUACCUGAUUAUCUGAGAACAUUGUAACCAGGGGUUAUAAAGACCACUGUUACCUGAUUGAUCUGAGAACAUUGUAACCAGGGGUUAUAAAGAGCACUGUUACCUGAUUAUCUGAGAACAUUGUAACCAGGGGUUAUAAAGACCACUGUUACCUGAUUAUCUGAGAACAUUGUAACCAGGGGUUAUACACUGUUACCUGAUUGAUCUGAGAACACUGUAACCAGGGGUUAUAAAGACCACUGUUACCUUACUGAUAGAAAGCAUUGUCACCUGGGGGGAUACAGACCAUUAUGACAUGAGUCAUCUGAGAAAAUUGUAACUUUGGGGGAUCAAGAAUACUGUUUCCUCACUGAUCAGAAAGCAUUGUGACCUGAGAGAAUCUAGAUCAUUGUUAUCUCUGUGAUACUUUAUAUAAGAAUUGUAACCUGGGUGGAUAAAGACCAUUGUUAUCUGACUGAUCUGAAAACAUUGUCACCUCCAGAGAUCAAAACCGUUGUUCCCUAGUUGAAAACAUUGUUACCCGGAAGGGAUCAAAACCAUUGUUACUAAUCUGAGAACACUGUGAUCUGAGAAUAUAAGAACCAUUGUUACCUGGCUAAUCUGAGAACUUGUAACUUGUGGGAUAAAGAAUAUUGUUACCUCAGUGAAUUAAGGACAUUGUUUCCUGUGAUCUGACAGCACCGUAACCUGUGCGGACCAAGACUAUUCUUACCAGGCUGACAUGAAAGCAUUGUUCCUUAGGGAAUCAAGGCCAUUGUUACCUAGGACAUUUGAGAACAUUGUAAUCUGGGGAUCAAGACAGUUGUUACCUAGGUCAUGGAAUAGCAUUGUUAUCUGGAAUAUCUAAGAACAUUGUUAUGUAAAGAAUCAAGAACUUUGUUACCCAGGGCAUGACAACAUUAUUACAUUGAGCAAUCAGAGAACAUUGUUACCUAAGGAAGCCAGAUCAUUGUUACCUGAAUGGCCUGAACAUAUUGUAUGUAACCUGGGGGAUCAAGACCAUUGUUACCUGAGAGAUCAGAGAUUGUUGUAACCUAGGAAACCUGAGAACAUUGUAACCUAGAACAUCUGAGAGCAGUGUUAUCUGGAGGAUCUGAAGGUAAUGAUUUGAGAACACAGUAACUCUGAGGAUUAGGACCAUUCUUACCUGGGACAUUGAGACCAUCGAGACCAUUGUAAGCCAGUGUUACUGAGCUAAGAACAGUGUAGCCUGGUUUAUCAAGACCAUUGUUACCUUGGGUAUUUGAAAGCAUUUUCUCCAAUUUUAUCAAAGCCAUUGUUUCUUGUGAGAUCUGCGAACAUGGUAACCUGAGAGAUCUGAGAGAUCUGAGAGCCUUGUUACCUGUGGAAUCAAGACCAUUGCCAGGGGCAUCUAAGAAUAUUGUCACUGAGGGAUCUGAGAAUACUGGAGCUUAAGGCAUCAAGACUAUUGUUCCGUGGCAGAUAAGAGAACAUAGGUACUUGGAGUCUUGGAAUAUCCGAGAAUACCUGGGUGAAAUGAAACUCUUGUUUCCUGUGAACUUGAGAGCUUUGUUACCUGGGAGAUCAAGACCAUUGUUCCCUGGCAGAUAUGUGGGGCACCUGAGACUUAUUACCUGGAGAAUAGGAGGCACUGUUAAAUAUUAAUUGGAGAGCUUGUCGUUUGGAGAAUCUGGCACCAUUGUCACCUGAAGGAUCUGAGGACACUCUAACCAGGAGGACCAGGACCAUAGCUAACUGAAUGAUCUGAGAACACUGUUACCUAUUGGAUCUGAGAAUGCUGUAAGGUGGAGGAUCAAGACCACUGUUAUCUGAGGCAUAUGAGAUCAUCAUAACCAGGAGGAUCGGAGAACAUUGUUAACCUGGGAAAUCUAAGAACAUUUUAAACUGUGGGAUUACAAUACUGCUCCCUGACAGAUUUAAAAGCAUUGCUGCCUGGGAUAUCUGAGGCAGUUGUUACCUGUAAAUAUAAGAGUGUUAUAAUGUGAGUGAUCUGAGACCAGUUACCUGGAAUAUGAAGACAGUUCUAUUUCCUGGAAAUCUGACACUAUUAGCAGAUGGAGGAUUUGGUAACAUUGCAACCUGGGGGAAUCAAAAUUAUUUUUAACUGGCAGACUGGAUAGCAUUGUAACCUGGGGUAUAUGAGGUUGUUACCUGGUAAUUAAGACUAUUGCUACCCGGAGAAUCUGAGACAAUUGAAACCUGUGAAUCUAGGAACAUUGUUAUCUGUAGGAUAUGAGACCAUUGUUACCUUGGGAUUUGAGAGUAUUGUAAUCUGAGUGCCUUAGAACAUUAUUACCUGAGGUAUAAAGACAAUUGCCACCUAGAAGGUCUGAAACCAUCGUCACCUUGAAGAUCUAAACUUUAUAACUUGGAGAAUGUAAAACUAUUCUUACUUUGGUGAUCCAAGAUCAUUGUUUUCAUAGACCUGAGACCACUGUUAACUGGGGAUUUGAGGCCAUUGUUACCUCUGGGGAUUUGAGGUCACUGUUGCCUAGGGAUUUGAGGCCAUCGUUAUCUGGGGACUGAGAUCACUGUUACCUGAGGAACUGAAAUCAUUGUAAACUGGAGGAUCAAUACUGUUGUUACUUGACAUAUCACUGCAUUGUUGCCUGGGAAUUUGAGAGCAUUAUAAACUGAUAAUCUAAAAGCAUUAUUAUCUUGGUUAUGAAGACAUUACCUAUGUGAUCUGAGACCAUUAUUACAUCUGUAAUUUGAGACCACUGGGACAUGGGGGUACAAGAUCACUAACUUGGAAUUCUGAAAACAUUAUAACUUAGGGGUGUCUUAGAACAUUGAUAUAUUGAAUAUGAAGCAGUUAUUACCUGAGGAAUCUAAGAGCACUAUAGCAUGGCUAUCAAUGACAUUGUUACCUUGAUGUUCUGAGACUACCGUGCCCUGGGCAAACUGAGGCCAUUAUUAUGUGGGGAUCUGAGGGAGAGCAUUGUAACCUGGGAUGCUGAGACAUCGCAUUUGACAACACUGUAACCUGGGCAACGCGAGGCCACUGCUACCUUGUCAUCUGAGAGCAUUGUUUCCUGAGGAGUCUGAGACCACUGUCAUCUGGGGAUUUGAGGGUGCUGUAAUCUAGGACAUCAGAGACCCCUGUUUUGUAGGUAUCUGAGACAGGUGACAACGCCAGGGAUCUGUGGCAUAGUUACCUGAGAGACACCCUCUUAUCUAUGUGAUCCGGGACUCACUCACAUGAGCUGUAUUGAGACCAUUUUUGCUGAGAGCGUUUGAUGCUAAAAGAGCUGAGAAUUUCUGUUCACUGGAUGAGUUGAGACCACUCUUUCCUUAGGAGCUAAAAACUGCUUUUGCUCAGAAGAACAGAGAUACCAUUUCCUGUCUGUCCUAAGAAGAAUGUUUCCUGAAUGACAGCUCUUUUGUUACCUGGGCAGCUGAUACCCCAUGGACUGGUCUGUACUAAGGACACAGCAAGUCGAAGUUCAGUUCUUUGCUUCCUAACCUGUUUCCCUUGUAUCAGAGGGGAUCUUAGCAUCCACUAGGCCUUGUCCAACUCCAGCACAUAGUCAACAUCCUUUGAAGACCUUCAGAAGCUUCAUGUGUUGGAGGUCCCUAUCGUAUUGAAGAGUGUGGGGACCCCUGUUCUCCUUGUGGUCCUUCUCUCUGUUAUACCUUCCCAGCCUUCAGGAGAGCUGACUACACACCUCCUGCCUAGCUCAACCCACACGCUCACAGAGUCAUGUGCAGCCAAGUGGCCACAGGCCCUUUGUGAAGAGUUUGCUAUACAGAGUGCCUGUGCUUUACAGAUGGUUUUUGGGACAUUUUAAUGCAGAACUUUGAUCUGGAAUCUUACCAGCUAACAAAUGCCAUGAGUGGAAAGGUGAAACAUCACAGUCUCUCAGCAGAACUCUGAUCCAGUGGCGCCCACACUGCCAGAGAACAUGUUCUGCUGGAACCCACGUCUCCUCUCUACCGCUCUCAUUGCAUCGUCGUUGAUCUUGGGAGAAGGGAGUCAGCUUCUUGAAACACACAACUGGCCCCUGGGUCCUGCUAAGAAGUUAGGUAGCUCAUGACCAUUUCAAAAGUGAUUCAGAACCAGAACAGAUAUUAUGCAAGUUCUUGGACACCUCCUUGGCUCAGAAGGAAUCCUUCCAGACCCACCCAAGCUGUUUGACAUACUAGUUAUUCCUUCUGGCUAGCUAGAAUGUCAUGGGAUGCACAGGUCAUCAUUUGCUGAACCCUGCAGCCAUGGAAGGAUAUGGCUUCCAGCCUUCUAUUACUAUUAGGAGCGUCUGUGAGCACUCAUGUGCAAGACUUUGUCUGCAUGUAAGUUUUUAACUCCAGUGAACGCUCAGUGAACCCAUGCAUGGACCACAUGGUGAUGCACGUUUUGUUUUAUGAGAAACAGCCUUACUCUCCCUUGGGGCAGAACUGUCUUACACACCUGUCUAUACAUCUCCUACUCUGGGAGCAAGAAUGGCUCAUGUGGUUAUGAAAGGGAAAGGGACAUGCUAGGGGUUUGAAAUGUUCAGACUCUUAGCUUCUGGUGAGGAGACGGAUAUACCAAGGUUCUUAUGUGAGCCAGCUAGAGCAUCACACUCUACGGGAGCAGCAGAGGACCAUGUCAGUGUCUUGUCUUUGCUGGGAAAGUGUUCUGUCAAGAUGAUGAUGUUGGAGAAGCGCAAUCAAAAACACAUAAGUCUGUCAUCAGUUACAAAUAGAAACCAACAGAAAAGCAGUAGAGGUGCCAUUUAAAAUGAGAUCAUGAAGAACAAUAUUGUGGCUCUUUUCUAAUCUUUGUAGUCUUGGUUGCUAAGAGUCCAGUCAUCUCGUGAAGGUCCCCUUGCCUGCCCCCUCACAGGGGAAAAGGAAGGCUUUUCUGUGUAGACCCUAAGUUGACCUUGCUCUGGCCCACAUCAAGGAACAGGACCACUCAGGGAAAUGUGCCUCAGACUUCAGGAUGGCUGUGGAGCAGCUCCUCCCCAGGGAAGCAGCAGGGAGUAGCUGGUGUAUAGAGAGCAAGAAGAUGGGAUUGGCAUCUUCUGAUGGGGACUUUGAGAUGGGAUACUUGGCUCACAUUGUGUGUGUACACAGAUGUGUGCAAGCUCAUGUGUAGUAGGGUGCACAUCUACAUAUAUGUGCAUGCAGAUGGAGGCCAGAGGAACCUAGGAUGGUGGUCCUCAGGCAUUGACCACUUUGAGAAUUUUUCUGUUUUGGUUUAGUUUUGGUUUUUUUGACAUAGGAUCUCUCUGAUCUGAAACUCUGCAAGCAGGUACAUUGAGUAGCCAAUGAGCUGUAGGGAUCUGCCUGUCUCUCUGACCCUUUUUGCUUUUCUCUGCCUCCUCUGCCCCUCACUGCCCCUUUCUACCUCUCUAUGCCCAUCUCUGCCCCUUUGUCCCCCUCUGCCUCUGCCCUCACCAACCCUGGGAUUGCGAGUGUGCACCAUCAAGUCUGGCGAUUUCAGAGGAUUGGAUCCACAUGAGCACUUCACCAGAGGUGCCGUCUGCCAGCUCAGCUCACCACUUUCUAAAAGCCACGUGUGAGAUCAGCCUUGCCAUUCCACCCAGACAGAUAUACCAGCUCCUGGCAACCAACCCUAUUGUCUCCAGAGAAGAUGGAUGGGAACAGAAGACUCUCCACCCGGAGCUUGCUUUAAAUGUGGCAACACUGGUCACUUGGGGUGGAGGACUACCUUUCACCUUAACUGCUGCUCAGAUCCUGCCCAGACACUGGUAGACCCGUUUUCCUGGCUAGAGGAAAGAGCGUUAAUGCUUUUAACCAGAAUAAUUUUGGGUGUCCUGUGACUCAAAAGCGGGAAAAUUGUUGUAAGCUCCAGGGAGCCGAGCAGAGCUCAGAUGGACUCCAGAUAAGUACCACCCCACCUAUGUCCGCUCCCGAGGGGGGACCUCCCCACCUUUCCCUCAUCCUGGGACUCCCCUCCCUCAAUUACCGGGAUCUAAGAGCAAAGUUCCCUCUAAACUUCUUAACUUUAUGUUCUGCUCUGCCAGCAUCCUGCCAGGUCUCCGCAAAAUCUGCAUCCUAGACAGCUUCAAAAUGGCUAUCCCUGGUGGUCCACCCUUACAGACCGCUUCAGCGAGGCCUGCACUUUCCUCGAUCCCAGCACCAGAGGGUCUCCCAGAGCCCAGACAGCAAGUGGAAGAGACACCUAUCUAUCCCAGGACUUGGCCAGCAUCCCAGCUUUCUCAGGUCCCCCAAAGAUGAUGAUGCCCCCAGACAAUAGUCUGGCGAACUGUGUCUAGAGAACACUGCACCCCCAUUUCUGCCCCUCCUGUUACCCCUUCCUAUUUCCUUACCUUUUUAUAAUAAACAAAAGGGAGGAAUGUUAAUUCCUGCCAUGACAGCGGCCUGCCCCUGCCUCCAAAGUUAGGUGUCAUCUGUCACCAGGUGCCUUUCCACCAUCAGCUGUGCGACAUGUGCACCCCUUAAAAGUGCUCGCCAGGCACAGCCCACUCUCUCAUCUUUCUUUUCCCUCUUGUCUCUUCCCUGUUCUCUGCCUGCCUGCCUCAUGCCCCCACUACAACAUGGCCUUUCACUCCCCCCUCCCCUAAUAAACCUCUCGCACUAACUUAA